UCAGGAGGGACUCCGGAUGUUCAGGAGGUCAAGCCACACACCGACCUGAUACAGAGAAAAAGGAAUCAGGUGGAAAGUCAAUCGGAAGUCGGCGAGGACUCCAGCACUGUGAGGUCCUUCGGGUUGCCCCCUUGCUUUAAGGAGGAGGGUUUCUUCGAGGGAUUUCCCUUGUCCGUGAGUCCUGACGAAGCUGAAACCAUCAGGCGGAUGAACAAGGAAAGCCGGAGAAGGCACCUGGCCGCCAAUAUGGUCGGGCUGGUGAAGAUGGUCGAGAUGGCCGUUGUACUGGCCGAGGAGGGGGAGGACGCUGACCGUAUCAAAGAGUUAGAACAGGAGAAAGCUGCCCUCACCUCGGGCUCGCGAAAGUUGAAGGCUGCUCUGGAGCGCUUCGAGGAGAUGUUUCGCAAGCAAGCCGAGCUACUAGCGACGGAGACAGUUACUGGCUCUUGA